ensembl:ncRNA F37B12.13 ncRNA
AAAGUGGGAGGAUGAGGCGCCAAUUAAAAAAACACAUAUUAUCCGAGACGAGAGAAGUGAUCGCGGGGAAGAGAUGACCGAUUCGCAGCGACUAAUUGGUCAAGAUUGUGUGAGAGGUGUCGGGUUUCUCGCGCACGA